AGAGUUUGAUCCUGGCUCAGGACGAACGCUGGCGGCGUGCUUAACACAUGCAAGUCGAACGGAAAGGCCCUUCGGGGUACUCGAGUGGCGAACGGGUGAGUAACACGUGGGUGAUCUGCCCUGCACUUUGGGAUAAGCCUGGGAAACUGGGUCUAAUACCGAAUAGGACCACGCGCUUCAUGGUGUGUGGUGGAAAGCUUUUGCGGUGUGGGAUGGGCCCGCGGCCUAUCAGCUUGUUGGUGGGGUAAUGGCCUACCAAGGCGACGACGGGUAGCCGGCCUGAGAGGGUGACCGGCCACACUGGGACUGAGAUACGGCCCAGACUCCUACGGGAGGCAGCAGUGGGGAAUAUUGCACAAUGGGCGCAAGCCUGAUGCAGCGACGCCGCGUGAGGGAUGACGGCCUUCGGGUUGUAAACCUCUUUCAAUAGGGACGAAGCGCAAGUGACGGUACCUAUAGAAGAAGCACCGGCCAACUACGUGCCAGCAGCCGCGGUAAUACGUAGGGUGCGAGCGUUGUCCGGAAUUACUGGGCGUAAAGAGCUCGUAGGUGGUUUGUCGCGUUGUUCGUGAAAAUUCACAGCUUAACUGUGGGCGUGCGGGCGAUACGGGCAGACUAGAGUACUGCAGGGGAGACUGGAAUUCCUGGUGUAGCGGUGGAAUGCGCAGAUAUCAGGAGGAACACCGGUGGCGAAGGCGGGUCUCUGGGCAGUAACUGACGCUGAGGAGCGAAAGCGUGGGGAGCGAACAGGAUUAGAUACCCCGGUAGUCCAA
rnacentral:rRNA from 1 species